GACGAACGCUGGCGGCGUGCUUAACACAUGCAAGUCGAACGGAAAGGCCCUGCUUUUGUGGGGUGCUCGAGUGGCGAACGGGUGAGUAACACGUGAGUAACCUGCCCUUGACUUUGGGAUAACUUCAGGAAACUGGGGCUAAUACCGGAUAGGAGCUCCUGCUGCAUGGAGGGGGUUGGAAAGUUUCGGCGGUUGGGGAUGGACUCGCGGCUUAUCAGCUUGUUGGUGGGGUAGUGGCUUACCAAGGCUUUGACGGGUAGCCGGCCUGAGAGGGUGACCGGCCACAUUGGGCCUGAGAUACGGCCCAGACUCCUACGGGAGGCAGCAGUGGGGAAUAUUGCACAAUGGGCGGAAGCCUGAUGCAGCAACGCCGCGUGCGGGAUGACGGCCUUCGGGUUGUAAACCGCUUUCGCCUGUGACGAAGCGUGAGUGACGGUAAUGGGUAAAGAAGCACCGGCUAACUACGUG
rnacentral:rRNA from 1 species